rnacentral:rRNA from 1 species
GACGAACGCUGGCGGCGUGCCUAACACGUGCAAGUCGAGGGGUGAUUUCGGUCAUCACUGGCGCACGGGUGAGUAACGCGUAGAUCAUCUGCCCCUAUCACUGACAUAACAGUUCUAACGGACUGCUAAUAUCAGAUGAGGUGAGCAAUCAUCAAAGUUUCGACGGAUAGGGAUGAGUCUGCGUCUGAUUAGGUAGUUGGUGAGGUAACGGCUCACCAAGCCGACGAUCAGUAACUGGUCUGAGAGGACGAACAGUCACACUGGAACUGAGACACGGUCCAGACUCCUACGGGAGGCAGCAGUGAGGAAUAUUGCACAAUGGGAGGAAUCCUGAUGCAGCGACGCCGCGUGCGGGAUGAAGGGGCUUAGCCUCGUAAACCGCUGUCGGAGGGGACGAAUGGUACAUUUGAUGUACUGAGACGGUACCCUCAAAGGAAGGAUCGGCUAACUACGUGCCAGCAGCCGCGGUAAAGU